rnacentral:tRNA from 2 species
GGCGAGGUAGCUCAGUUGGUAGAGCAGGGGACUGAAAAUCCCCGUGUCGGCGGUUCGAGUCCGUCCCUCGCCA